rfam:Pteropus alecto contig43195, whole genome shotgun sequence.
GGUUCCAUAGUGUAGUGGUUAGCACAUCUGCUUUACAGGCAGAAGGUCUUGGGUUUAUGCCCCAGUGGAGCCA